CAGGUCAGCAUACUGCCGUGAAUACGUUCCCGGGCCCUUGUACACACCGCCCGUCACACCAUGAGAGUUGGAAAUACCCGAAGCCUGUGAGCUGACCGUAAGGGGGCAGCAGUCGAAGGUAGAGCCAAUGAUUGGGGUGAAGUCGUAACAAGGUAGC
rnacentral:rRNA from 1 species